rnacentral:rRNA from 1 species
GUAGGUGGCAAGCGUUGUCCGGAAUUAUUGGGCGUAAAGCGCGCGCAGGCGGUUUUUUAAGUCUGAUGUGAAAGCCCACGGCUCAACCGUGGAGGGUCAUUGGAAACUGGAGAACUUGAGUACAGAAGAGGAAAGCGGAAUUCCACGUGUAGCGGUGAAAUGCGUAGAGAUGUGGAGGAACACCAGUGGCGAAGGCGGCUUUCUGGUCUGUAACUGACGCUGAGGCGCGAAAGCGUGGGGAGCAAACAGGAUUAGAUACCCUGGUAGUCCACGCCGUAAACGAUGAGUGCUAAGUGUUAGGGGGUUUCCCGCCCCCCUUAGUGCUGCAGCUAACGCAUUAAGCACUCCGCCUGGGGAGUACGGCCGCAAGGCUG